AAGGUAGGCUGGCAGAAUGAAUUAAAAAACAAGACCCAAGUAUCAAGAAGAUUUAUAAGAAUAAUAAAUAUUCAUGCCCCCAAACAUGGGUUUAAGUAAUUACAUAAAAAAGACACUACUCAGAUUGAAGCCUUAGAUAGACCCUAGUACAAUAAUACUGGGUGAUUUGAAUACAUCUCUUUCACCAUGAGAUAGUUCAUCCAGGUAUAAACUUGAUAAAGACUCUUUGGACCCCCAAAAUAUUAUAAAUUAAAUUGACUUAACAGACAUCUAUAGAAUAUUUCAUUCCACAACAGUUCAAAACACUUUAUUCUCAGUGGCUCAUGGAACCUUCUCCAAAACAGACCAUAUUUUAGGCCACAAAAGCAACAAUUAGUAAAUAUAAAACCAUUGAUAUAAUUCCUUAUAUCCUAUCAUAUCAUAAUGGAAUAAAAUUAGAAUCAACAUGACAAAACCCUACAGAAACUCUGUAAACACAUGGAGAUUGAACAAUACACUUUUGAAUAAUGAAUGAGUAAUAGGAGAAAUUAAGGGAGAAAUUUAAAAAUUCUUAGAUUCAAAUAAGAAUAACAACACAACAUAGCAGAACCUCUGGGACACUAUGAAGGCAGUUCUAAGAGGCAAGCUUUUAGCCAUAGCUACACUACAUAAGAAAAUCAGAAAGAUUUCAAAUGAGCAACCUAAUGAUAUAUCUCAAAGAUCUUGGGGAAAAAAAUUCUAAAACCAGUUGAAGGAAGGAAAUAAUAAAAUCAGAGCUGAAAUAAAUAAUAUUUAGAAUAAAAAUACAAAGGAUCAGUGAAAUAGAGUUGUUUCUUUGAAAAGAUAAACAAGAUAAACCCUAUCCAAACUAAUCAAAAGCAAAAGGGAAAACCCAAGUUAAUAAAAUUAGAGGUAGAAAGGAGAAAUCAUCACAGACACCACAGAAAUCCAGAAAUCCAGCAGAUCAUUGGGGACUAUUUUGAAAACUUACACUCCAAUAAACUGGAAAAACCUAGAAGAAAUGGAUACAUUUCUAGACAAAUAGAAUCUGCCAAAACUUAAUCAAGAUAGAAAAUCUAAACAGACAAAUUACUAGCAAUGAGUUAGAAGCAGUAAUAAAAAAAACUGCCAAAAAAGAAAAGCCCAGAACUAGAUGAAUUCUCAUCUAAAUUAUACCAAACCUUUAAAGAAGAACUAAUAUCAAUUCUCCUCAAAUUAUUCUAUGAAAAAGAAAGGGAUGGAAUGCUUGCAAAUUUAUUCUAUGAAGCCAGUAUCACACUCAUAUACAAACCAGAUAAGGCCACAUCAAGGAAAGAAAACUACAGACCGCUAACCCUGAUGAUCUUAGGUGAAAAAAUAUUUAAUAUUAGCAAAUCAUGUUCAAAAUAUUAGGAAGAUUGUACACCACAACCAAGUUGGUUUUAUGUCAGGGAUGCAAGGAUGGUUUGAUAUAUGCAAAACAAUAAAUGUAGUUUAUAAUAUAAAUGGAAUUAAGAAAAAAAUCACUUAGUCAUCUCAAUAGAUGCAGAGAAAAUCUUUGAAAAAAUUCAGAACUCAUUCAUGUUAAAAACACCGAAGAACUAGGGAUAUAAGAAACCUCAGCAUCAUAAAGCUCAUAUGUAAAAAACUGAAAGUCAACCUCAUACCAAAUGGGGAAAAGCUGAGAGCAUUUCUUUUAAAAUAUGGGACAAGACAAGGUUGUCCAUUCUCACCAUUCCUAUUUAAAAUACUGCUGGAAAUUCAAGCCUGAGCCAUUAGGCAAGAGAAAGAAAUAAAAGGGACAAAAAUAGGAAAGGAAGAAGUCAAAUUGUCACUUUUUGCAGGUGACAUGAUCCUUUACCUAAAUAAUCGAAAAAACUCCACCAAAAGACUAUUAGAACUAAUAAACAAAUUUGACAAACAACAGGUUACAAAAUCAAUAUACAAAUGCCAAUAGUUUUCCUCUAUAAAAACAAUGAAUCUGGUGGGCAAGAAAUAAAAAAAAAUAACUCCACUCACAAUAGCAAAACAACACAACACCAAAAAUGUAGGAAUAAAUAAAUCUAUCCAAGGGAGGUUAAAGACCUCUAAAAUGACAACUAUGAAACAUUAAAAAAAGAAAUUGAAGAGGACCUCAGAAGAUGGAAAGACCACCCAUGUUCAUGAAUAGGCAGAAUUAAUAUUGUUAAAAUGGCUGUACUACCCCAAAUGACAUAUAGAUUCAAU
rnacentral:lncRNA from 1 species